AAAGUACUCCCUCCGUCCCAAAAUUCUUGUCUUAGAUUUGUCUAGAUACGGAUGUAUCAAGUCACAUUUUAGUAUUAGAUACAUCCGUAUCUAGACAAAUCUAAGACAAGAAAUUUGUGAUAGAGGAAGUAGUUG
rfam:Triticum aestivum genome assembly, contig: Triticum_aestivum_CS42_TGACv1_scaffold_258966_3DL